rnacentral:lncRNA from 1 species
CUUCGAGUAGUAUAGGUAUUAGUAGAGUGUACUAAUACUGUGGUUGUUGUUUGGCAUGAUCUGAUAUGCUUAUGUGAUAAAAUAUUGAUGAUGUAUGAUGAUAUGCAUGUUGUUGUGAAUGUAUAUAUUAUGCAUGUAAUUGUGAAUGGACUGUUGUAUGGCUUAGAGUGUGAGCACAGGUCCAUUGUGGAUUGUUGUUGAUGCUGCAUUUGCUAGAUGAUUAGCAUGCAUGGCAUAGCCUGUGGGGCUGUAGCUAAUUCCCAUGGUGAGGAAUUAGUGAGUGAAUUGUUAUGGAAUUGUUGUUGAUGUUUGCAUACUAGAUGAUUAGUGUGCAUAGUCUAGCCUUUGGGGCUGUAGCUAAUUCCCAUGGUGAGGAAUUAGUGAGUGAGUCAUUAGAUCUCAAAUGAGUGGGACUAGUGAGCUUAGUAGCCGUAUCUGGAUUUGAUCGGUGAGCUUGAACUGUAUGUUCAAGAAUAGUCGGUACCGCAUAUGUUGAGUCUCAUUGCAUAAUGAAUGUAUGGCAUAUAAUAUGAAUGGAUGUAUUCCAGUAUUAUAUGGUUAUUAUGUGUUGUGUUGUUGAUGAUUGAGUAUGGUUUGAGAUUAUACAUAUGAUAUAUGUUAUUGUUGGGUAUGAUGUUGAGUUGGUACUGCCGUUGCUGAGUGUGUAGUCUGGUUAGGGUGAACAAAUGCGUAUUUACUUAACAUUACAUAAUGUUGUAUAAUGCUUAUUAUAUUGAUUGAGAAACUCACCCUUACAUCUAUUUUUCAGGUAACGAGCAGUGAGUUGAGUAGAAGCUAGUGCUAUGGAGUCUAGUGUCGUCCUUAGUGGGUCAUGCUCUGGUAGAUGUAACAUCGGGAGGGAAUGUUUGACUAUGUUUUAAUUUAGUUGUUGAUUCAACUUUACAUGUAAUGUAGUACAUGAUUUGAAUGUCGAUGUUUUGUACCCGCUGCGAAUUAUGCAAAAGAGUCUUAUUUUGAUUUAAUAAAUGAGCAUGGCAGGAUAUUUUGAU